GACGAACGCUGGCGGCGUGCUUAACACAUGCAAGUCGAACGCUGAAGCCCUUCGGGGUGGAUGAGUGGCGAACGGGUGAGUAACACGUGGGUAAUCUGCCCUGCACUCUGGGAUAAGCCUUGGAAACGGGGUCUAAUACCGGAUAGGACACAUCGCCGCAUGGUGUGUGUGUGGAAAGUUCCGGCGGUGCAGGUUGAGCCCGCGGCCUAUCAGCUUGUUGGUGGGGUGAUGGCCUAACAAGGCGACGACGGGUAGCCGGCCUGAGAGGGUGACCGGCCACACUGGGACUGAGACACGGCCCAGACUCCUACGGGAGGCAGCAGUGGGGAAUCUUGCGCAAUGGGCGAAAGCCUGACGCAGCAACGCCGCGUGGGGGAUGACGGCCUUCGGGUUGUAAACCUCUUUCGACCGGGACGAAGGAUUCGUUUGACGGUACCGGUAGAAGAAGCACCGGCUAGCUACGUGCCAGCCGCCGCCGUAA
rnacentral:rRNA from 1 species